AACGAACGCUGGCGGCAGGCUUAACACAUGCAAGUCGAACGGAUGUAGCAAUACAUCAGUGGCAGACGGGUGAGUAACACGUGGGAACCUUCCUCGUUGUACGGGACAACUCAGGGAAACUUGAGCUAAUACCGUAUAAGUCCGAGAGGAGAAAGAUUUAUCGCAAUGAGACGGGCCCGCGUCGGAUUAGCUAGUUGGUGGGAACGGCCGUGCCAAGGCGACGAUCCGUAGCUGAUCUGAGAGGAUGAUCAGCCACCACUGGGACUGAGACACGGCCCACGACUCCUACGGGAGGGCAGCAGUGGGGAAGUCUUGGACAAUGGGCGCAAGCCUGAUCCAGCCAUGCCGCGUGAGUGAAGAAGGCCUUAGGGUUGUAAAGCUCUUUUG
rnacentral:rRNA from 1 species